rnacentral:rRNA from 1 species
CCUACGGGGGGCAGCAGUGAGGAAUAUUGGUCAUUGGCCGCUAGCCUGAACCAGCCAAGUAGCGUGAAGGAUGACUGCCCUAUGGGUUGUAAACUUCUUUUAUAUGGGAAUAAAGUGCAGCAUGUAUACUGCUUUGCAUGUACCUUAUGAAUAAGGAUCGGCUACCUCCGUGCCAGCAGCCGCGGUAAUACGGAGGAUUCGAGCGUUAUCCGGAUUUAUUGGGUUGAAAGGGAGCGUAGGCGGGUUGUUAAGACAGUCGUGAAAGUUUGCGGCUCAACCGUAAGAUUGCAGUUGAAACUGGCAUCCUUGAGUGCAGUAGAGGUAGGCGGAAUUCGUGGUGUAGCGGUGAAAUGCUUAGAUAUCACGAAGAACUCCGAUUGCGAAGGCAGCCUGCUGGACUGUAACUGACGCUGAUGCUCGAAAGUGUGGGUAUCAAACAGGAUUAGAUACCCUUGUAGUC